GAUGAACGCUGGCGGCGUGCCUAAUACAUGCAAGUCGAACGCUUCACUUCGGUGAAGAGUGGCGAACGGGUGAGUAAUACAUAAGUAACCUGGCAUCUACAGGGGGAUAACUGAUGGAAACGUCAGCUAAGACCGCAUAGGUGUAGAGAUCGCAUGAACUCUAUAUGAAAAGUGCUACGGGACUGGUAGAUGAUGGACUUAUGGCGCAUUAGCUUGUUGGUAGGGUAACGGCCUACCAAGGCGACGAUGCGUAGCCGACCUGAGAGGGUGACCGGCCACACUGGGACUGAGACACGGCCCAGACUCCUACGGGAGGCAGAAGUAGAGAAUUUUCGGCAAUGGGGAAAACCCGGACCGAGCAACGCCGCGUGAAGGAAGAAGUAAGUCGUUGUGUAAACUUCUGUCAUAGAGGAAGAACGGUGGAUAUGGGGAAUGAUAUCCAAGAGGCGGUACUCUAUAAGAAAGCCACGGCUAACUACG
rnacentral:rRNA from 1 species